AUGGAGCGCGCGUCGAUGGCCGUUUUGAGCAACGUUGUGCAGCUGGUUGGGCAGGAGUUCCGCCAGCUCCGCGCCGUCCGCGGCGAGGUCACUGAGCUGAGGGACGAGCUGGCCACGAUGAACACCCUCCUGCGCAUGCAGUCCGAAGCUGAUGCAAGUGGCUUGAGCCACUUCGUCCGGGAGUGGAUGAAGCAACUCCGGGAGCUCGCCUACGACGCCGAGGACUGCGUCGACCUCUACCUGUUUCGCAUCAGGUGCCAGCAGGGCGACGGCUUCCUCGUCUGGUCCAAACGCCUGCUUGCUACGCUUUUCCCUCGCCAUUGCCUCGCCGGCGAGAUCACGGCCCUCCGCAUCCGUGCUGUUUCCAUCAGCGAGCGCCAUGCUCGUUACGGCGUCAGCAUCGAGCUGCUGGGCCGCACUGCUUCUUCUUCGGAGGCUUUGCAGGCAGUGGUGGCGUCAGCACGUGCGCCACGCCCUCACAACGACCCCAACCAGUUCGUCGGCAUCAAGGCCCAGGCUGAGAACCUGGGCAAGAAGGUGGUGAAGGCGGCUGUCUGUGAGAGUGACAAAGAGCUCAAGGUGUUCUCUAUCGUGGGCUUUGGAGGCCUCGGGAAAACCACGCUGGCCAUGGAGGUCUGCCGGCAGCUGGAGACGGAGUUCAAACGCCAGGCCAAUGUGUCCGUGUCGCAGACCUUCGGCAGCAAGGAUCUCCAGGGAUUACUAAAGCGCGUGCUUCUGCAGGUCGUGACCCUACCGUCUAAUCAAAACGAGCAAGCGGCGCUCCUUCGUAAGAUUGACGGCAUGGAUGUAGGCGAGCUAGAAGGCAUGCUCAAGGAGAGUCUCCAGAACAACAGGUACCUAAUUUUUAUCGAUGAUGUAUGGAGCAAAGCAGCCUGGGAGGCAAUCUGGUCCAAGUUACCAAGCAGCAACUGCGGCAGCAGAAUCAUCGUGACCACUCGGAUAGAUACUGUGGCCAAAGCAUGUUCUAAUUAUUGUGAUUAUUACAUCCAUCAUAUGAAGCCCCUAGAUGAGAAACAGUCAGAUCAGUUGUUCCGAAGAAAAGCAUUUGGCUCAAUGACCGAAGAUUCUUGCCCAGAGUAUUUGAAAGGUGCAAUGGAAAACAUCUUGAAAAAAUGUGGUGGGCUACCCUUAGCCAUUGCUAACAUUGCAAGCCUUUUGGCAAGCUAUACACAUCCAGAAGGGAAGAAGAUGUGGGAAAUAGUUGGCAGGUCAAUUGGUUCACAGAUGGAUAACAAUCCUACUCUUGAGGGGAUGAGGCAGAUACUCACACUUAGCUAUGACCACCUACCCCACCACCUCAAGGCUUGCAUUAUGUAUCUUAGCAUUUUCCCAGAGGAUUACGUGAUCUGCAAGGAUCGACUAUUGAAGAGAUGGAUCGCUGAAGGGUUAAUUCCUGAGAAGCGAGGGAUGACCCAGAUGGAGCUUGCUGAAGCCUACUUCAAUGAGCUGAUGAGUAGAAGCAUGAUUGACCGAGGCACCGAUAUAGUUACCGUGUACCAAUGGAGGGAAGAGACAUGCCGAAUGCAUGACAUGAUGCUUGAGGUCAUGGUGUCCAAAUCCCUAGAGUCUAACUUUGUUAGCCUACUAGGUAGGCAAUAUGAAGGGAUGGCAUAUGAUAGGAUUCGACGUCUUGCCAUACAUGGCGGAGUAGAGGCAACCCAAGAGUCUUCAUCAAAGAAAAUGACAGCACACCGUGGUAUCAAGGCGAUGACUAUGAAGCAUGUCCGAUCACUAAGCAUAUUUGAUACUGAAGCACAAAAUCUGCUUGCCCGGUUAGGAGAGUUCAUGUUGCUAAGGGUACUUGACCUAGAAGACUGCAAAGGUCUGCAGAAAGAGCAUAUGAGUCAUAUCUGUCGGAUGUAUCUUUUAAGGUUCUUAAGCUUGAAGUGUUCAGAUAUCAAGGUGAUGCCUUCAAGAAUUGGUGAUCUCGAGCAUUUACAGACACUUGAUGUACGUCAAACACAACUGACGAGUCUACCAGAAACAGUCACAAAGCUAGAGAAGCUGGAGCACCUGUUGUUCACCACCAAAGAUGGCAAUUUAAUGUCUGGUUGGAUACUGCCCCAAGGGAUCAACAAAAUGAAGGCACUACGCCAGCUGAAUAAAGCGGUUGUGGUAUCUGAGGAGAAGGUCGCCAAGGAGAUUGGUGACCUGGAUCAAUUGGAAGACUUAUGCAUCUAUGUAGACACAAGAAAUAAGGAUAUGGAUCAGAAUGUUCUCGAAGAGCUUGCCAAAUCCCUGAGCAAGAUGAACUCCCUCCAGUUGCUCGACAUUGGAAAUCUUGGUUGUGAUAAAUGGCCUUUCAAACGGGCAUUGCAUUUUCUCCAUCAAGUAAAGUCGCCACCACAGCUGCUCCGUUACUUUAGGAUUUGCGGCCUCAUUGACCAAUUGCCAAAAUGGGUGGGGGGACUCAUGAAUCUUACCGAGUUGGUCAUAGCUUGGACAUACGUUGAUGGUGUCCAACUAUUCAGCGACAUAUGUAAGUUGCCCAACCUGCAGAGGCUGACCCUGGGGCCAUACUUCAUAAGACACGGGCAAGACAUGGUUGCACGCAGUAGCCAGUCCUUUCCGAAGCUCAAGGAACUAACUCUGGGCUAUUCUCCUGAAGUUCCUGAAGUUUAUGGAUUUGAGAAAGGAUGCAUGCCAGAGCUGGAGACGCUUGUGCUGCAGUUUGAUGACCAGUGGAAGACAACUGCUGGUAUUGAGCACUUGAAAAACCUUAAAGAGGUGCAGAUCAGUUGUGUCAAAGAAGGUGCAUUGGCUGCUGUAGUAGAGGUGCUGGAGGUGGAGAAUAAUCAUCGACUCAAAUCUGACCGCGAAGAGAUCAGAGUUAUAGUGAGGUCGUAG
rnacentral:rRNA from 1 species